GCCCGCUAUCGGAGUCGAACCGAUGACCAUCGCAUUACAAGUGCGGUGCUCU
rnacentral:tRNA from 2 species